AUUCCUUCUUUGGCCUCACCCAGUGCAAUAUGUGAGGAUGUUCUCCACCCUCUACCCUGGGCCUGGAACUACGGAUGAAGCACAGCUGCGGCAUGGUUGAAAAUGUGGCAUUAAAUGCCGCUGCCUCUGAAGCUAGCUUCCUCUCUAAGAUCCUGUAUUUAAGAAGAUGAUUCUAACCAACUUUUGAAAUGUUCAGAGCAAUUCAGCACUUGUCAUGCAGAUAAGAGGUCAACACCCCAGGACGGAGUGAAAACCUAAGAUGGACUCAACGACUCUCUUACCGUCCAGCUCUCAAGUCCCUUCUCUUGUGAAAAUGGAAAAGUUGAACUACAGUUGAGAUAUUAUUCCCAGGUGUUCUUUGGAACACAGGGGAUUUCUCCAAAAGGCACAGAACAAAUUGCCUCCAAACAGCCAAGAUUCCAGCAGAAGCUGGAGUAGCAGACUACUUGGAUCUUCAAAGUACCUGGCCCUGAGUCAGUUAAGGAAGAUCUUUUCUUCUCUUUUGUACAAUCCUAUGAUGAGAGCUGCAAAGUGAACUGACUAAGAGCUUCUGCCUUGAUCAUUGACCUCCCAAUCCUAAUAAUAUGUUCACUGGCCAAACUUCCUAAUCGAUUUGUCUUUUGGAUAUAACGUUCCUCCUACUGUUUGCCUGAUUGAGAAAUCUGCUACAGAACAUGACCGGUUAGCAUUCCCACCAACCCCAGUGCUACACUGACUGUCUUUCGAUGGACUUUGCUCCUUGCUGCCUCUCUGAGGUCCCAGACCUUCAGAGUGACCUUCACAGCUCUGCCUAACUUUCUGUCAUACUUCUAUCAAGAGAGACAGCUAAAUCAAUAUUUUUAAUGUGCUUUGCUGUCGGAAUUCGAUGAUCUGUCACAGUUCUUGCCCAAUACACCCCAUCAUUAUUGUUAAAAUGUUUUUAGCUUUGUUUGUAGAAUUGCUUUAACUGGUUUCAUCUCUGGGAGCUACACUUUGAAAUAUAACUUUAGCAACAUUUUACUAUACUUUUUCACAACCCAGAGCAGUACUAUUUUAUGCUUAGUGGUUAAACUAAUUCCAUAAAUCUUUUGCAACUAUCCUCUAUUCUUUUUCUUGUAAUUUUUACCUGGGAAGGUUUUUACUGAUAAUCAUCCUAUCCUGAGUCAUCCCACAAACCAAUCUGUCUCACUAAUCAUUGCUUCUAACCUACAGACUAAGCAUAACUUCUGCUAAAUGAUCUUUGAUAAGAUGCUAUGACUCUAUAAAGUCUUUGAUAUUCAUGUCUAAAUUUAAUCACUUGUAGAUUUUCAUAGAAUCAAUCUUUCACUUCUACAAUUGGGAGUAUUUAUAAGUUGUUUAUCUUAAACAGUUCCUCUAUCACGCUUUUCACGUUAAAUAAAGCAAUCCCUUCAAAUCAA
ensembl:lncRNA novel transcript